rnacentral:rRNA from 1 species
AAGUGGGUUGCACUAGAAGCCGGUGAGCCAACCGUAAGGGGGCAGCCGUCCAAGGUGUAAUUCAUGAUUGGGGUGAAGUCGUAACAAGGUAGCCGUAGGAGAACCUGCGGCUGGAUCACCUCCUUU